GUGGCAUAAGUGGUUAGAGCGUCCGCUUUAGAUGCAGAAGGUCUUGGGUUCAAUCCCCGGGUCA